GUGGGGAAUAUUGCGCAAUGGGCGGAAGCCUGACGCAGCGACGCCGCGUGGGGGAUGACGGCCUUCGGGUUGUAAACCUCUUUCGACCUCGACGAAGGCCCUGACUUUGUGUGGGGUUGACGGUAGGGGUGGAAGAAGCACCGGCCAACUACGUGCCAGCAGCCGCGGUAAUACGUAGGGUGCGAGCGUUGUCCGGAAUUAUUGGGCGUAAAGAGCUCGUAGGCGGUGUGUCGCGUCGGCCGUGAAAACCUGCAGCUUAACUGUGGGCGUGCGGUCGAUACGGGCAUCACUGGAGUUCGGCAGGGGAGACUGGAAUUCCUGGUGUAGCGGUGAAAUGCGCAGAUAUCAGGAGGAACACCGGUGGCGAAGGCGGGUCUCUGGGCCGAUACUGACGCUGAGGAGCGAAAGCGUGGGGAGCAAACAGGAUUAGAUACCCGAGUAGUCC
rnacentral:rRNA from 1 species